UACGGGGGGGGCAAGCGUUGUUCGGAAUUACUGGGCGUAAAGGGCUCGUAGGCGGCCAACUAAGUCAGACGUGAAAUCCCUCGGCUUAACCGGGGAACUGCGUCUGAUACUGGAUGGCUUGAGGUUGGGAGAGGGAUGCGGAAUUCCAGGUGUAGCGGUGAAAUGCGUAGAGAUGUGGAGGAACACCGAUGGCGAAGGCAGCCCCCUGGGCUAACACUGACGCUCAUGCACGAAAGCGUGGGGAGCAAACAGG
rnacentral:rRNA from 1 species